rnacentral:rRNA from 1 species
UGAACCUGGCGGAUGCNCAACACAUUCAUGUCGAACGGCAGCAUGACUUAGCUUGCUAGGUUGAUGGCGAGUGGCGAAGUGAGUAACGCGUAGGAAUAUACCCUGAAGUGGGGGAUAACCUGGGGAAACUCAGUGCUAACACCGCAUAAUGUCUGAGGACGAAAGCUGGGGGCCUUCGGGCCUGGUGCUUUAGGAAUAGCCUGCGUCCGAUUAGCUAGUUGGUGGGGUAAAGGCCUACCAAGGCUGUGAUCGGUAGCUGGUCUGAGAGGACGAACAGCCACACUGGGACUGAGACACGGCCCAGACUCCUACGGGAGGCAGCAGUGGGGAAUAUUGGACAAUGGGGGCAACCCUGAUCCAGCGAUGCCGCGUGUGUGAAGAAGGCCUGAGGGUUGUAAAGCACUUUCAGCGGGGAGGAGGGCUGAUUGGUAAGAGCUGAUGAGUUGGACGUACCCGCAGAAGAAGCACGGCUAACUCCGUGCCAGACGCCGCGGUAAUACGGAGGGUGCGAACGUAACUCGGAAUUAC